AUGUUUUCUCAGACACUUCUAUAUGUUACAAUUACAAAUGUAUAUAAGCUCGGAGAAUAUGCCACAUUGGAUUCUCCUGCCACAAAAAAAAAUCUCUCCCAGCUACUUCCCCAAAAGUGUCACUGUCCAGUGGGUCCACCCUCGAUUCCCUUUAUAGCGCCACGCCUUGUCGUUCCCAAUCGCUCACUUCCGGAUCGAAAGUCGCCGGCCAUGAAGCUCUUCUGCCUUCUCCUCGUCUCCUUUUUUGCCGCGGCGUACGCGUCGUCGGAGAGAGCGAUCGCGGUCGCGGGCGCCGGCGGCCUCUUAUCGGAUCCGGAGCAACAGUGCGUGUACACGGUGUACGUGCGGACGGGGUCGAUCUGGAAGGGCGGGACGGACUCGGCAAUCGGCGUGACGCUGCUGGGCUCGGACGGCACGGGCGUCCGGAUCGCCGACCUGGAGCAGUGGGGCGGGAUGAUGGGCGCCGGCCACGACUACUACGAGCGCGGCAAUCUCGACAUCUUCAGCGGCCGCGGGCCCUGCAUGGAGCGCGCGCCGUGCUGGGCGAACGUCACCUCCGACGGCGCCGGCGCGCACCACGGCUGGUACUGCAACUAUGUCGAGGUCACGGCCACGGGGCCCCACAUGGGCUGCGCGCAGCAGCUCUUCACCGUCGAGCAGUGGCUCGCCACCGACGCCUCCCCCUACCGCCUCUACACCGCCGUCGACAACUGCGGCGACAAGCAGGCCGCCAAGGGCCAGGAGGUCAGGGCCAGCAUCGCUCUGUGA
rnacentral:rRNA from 1 species